rnacentral:rRNA from 1 species
GCGCGAAACCUUCGCAAUGCGCGAAAGCGUGACGAGGUUAAUCCGAGUGGUUCCCGCUGAGGGAAUCUUUUGUCGGCUGUAAAAAGGCCAGCGAAUAAGGGGAGGGC